ACGUGGGUAACCUGCCUGUAAGACUGGGAUAACUCCGGGAAACCGGAGCUAAUACCGGAUAGUUCCUUGAACCGCAUGGUUCAAGGAUGAAAGACGGUUUCGGCUGUCACUUACAGAUGGACCCGCGGCGCAUUAGCUAGUUGGUGAGGUAACGGCUCACCAAGGCGACGAUGCGUAGCCGACCUGAGAGGGUGAUCGGCCACACUGGGACUGAGACACGGCCCAGACUCCUACGGGAGGCAGCAGUAGGGAAUCUUCCGCAAUGGACGAAAGUCUGACGGAGCAACGCCGCGUGAGUGAUGAAGGUUUUCGGAUCGUAAAGCUCUGUUGUUAGGGAAGAACAAGUGCAAGAGUAACUGCUUGCACCUUGACGGUACCUAACCAGAAAGCCACGGCUAACUACGUGCCAGCAGCCGCGGUAAUACGUAGGUGGCAAGCGUUGUCCGGAAUUAUUGGGCGUAAAGGGCUCGCAGGCGGUUUCUUAAGUCUGAUGUGAAAGCCCCCGGCUCAACCGGGGAGGG
rnacentral:rRNA from 1 species